rnacentral:rRNA from 1 species
UACGGGGGGGGCAAGCGUUGUUCGGAAUUACUGGGCGUAAAGGGCUCGUAGGUGGCCAACUAAGUCAGACGUGAAAUCCCUCAGCUUAACUGGGGAACUGCGUCUGAUACUGGAUGGCUUGAGUUCGGGAGAGGGAUGCGGAAUUCCAGGUGUAGCGGUGAAAUGCGUAGAUAUCUGGAGGAACACCGGUGGCGAAGGCGGCAUCCUGGACCGGCAUUGACGCUGAGGCGCGAAAGCCAGGGGAGCAAACGGG